rnacentral:lncRNA from 1 species
CUCUGGGCUGAGGUGUUUACAGAGACCCCGGGCCUGGUCCAAGUGCUGACACCGUGGCUGAUGUCCCUGUUGGGUUAAGCAUUGAUGGUCCUGGUUGAUUCCGGCUUUGGACAGGGGAUGCCUAAGGGAACUGCUGGGGCCAGACAUGACAGAAACGAUUCAGUCUUUCCACCUGAGGUGGGGGCUGCCCUCCCACCCCAGACCCAGCUUCUCCUUUUCUGGCUUUCAAAGCCCGGACCAAACCUCCUCUCUGCCCUUGGCGCCAAGCUGCCCUCCCUCUUGCCCCAACUCCUUUGACCCUGUCUCUCUCCUCCAGGCUGAUCCCCCACCCCCUCUUCCAGCCUGCCCUUCCUCUGUGAGGGAUGGGGUGGGGGGGGUGGGCUGAGCCAGUCUUCCCUGCCCCUUCCACUGCUCUGAGGUGGUCCCGGCUCCUCCUAGGUGAGACAGAAAUCCUGAAGGGUGAGGCCUGGCACUCUGGGUCUCUGCCCUCCCAGUGCCCCGGAAGUAGGGGAGGGCCUGGCCAGGCGGCUCCAGGCAUCCCCAACCCCUGCUCAUCACAUUCUUCCCAGGACCCUACAGAUCUCUCUUGAGCAGUCUCCCCAGGGAGAGAGACAACCUUCACCCAGUAGAGCCCUCAAACCCACCAGAUCCCCCUGCUUCCAAAUCCACCCGGCCCGGACGCCACCAUCUUUCUACAAACACUGCAGGAGCCUCCCCACUGACCGCCCCUCUCUCACCUCUCUGCCCCUUCUCCACCCGGCAUCCAAGAGACUUGGAAAAUGCUACUCCAGUUCUGCUGCUCCUCCACUGCAGCCCUCAGUGGCUCCCCAUUGCCCCCUCAAACUUGGCCCUCAGGCCAGCCAGAACCGGCCCUCCGGCCCCUCUGCCUCUUCUCCCCACUGCUUACCCCCAGCUCAGCCCACCACCCCUAACUACCACUUCUCUUCCCCACAUGCCUCGGCCUCACCCUGGCCUCCAAGCCUCUGCACAAGGCUAUUCCCUCUUAUGGGAUGCCCUUCCCACUUCUUCAUGUGGCUCAGCUCAGACACCUCUUUGCAGGCAGGAGGCUCCUGUCAGUCUCCCCGUCGAGGUGCUGUCUUGGCCCUGCAUGUGGCCCUGGGACUGGCACUUGGCCUCCACUGGAGGCAGCUGUGUUGCACUGAGUGGGCCUGGGAUGACCAGAGACUAACAUUCACCUACCAGGCUGGCUGGCAGCAGCGAAGAAACAGAGCCCGGAGUUAG